rnacentral:ncRNA from 1 species
CUCCAUAGCUAGGGGUGCCUGGAAAGAAAAGGCUGAGAUAUACCCUUAGAACCUGAGACUGGUUAGCACCAGCGGAGGGAAGCUGUUUAUUGAGGAA